rnacentral:rRNA from 1 species
GGGCAAGUCUGGUGCCAGCAGCCGCGGUAAUUCCAGCUCCAAUAGCGUAUAUUAAAGUUGUUGCAGUUAAAAAGCUCGUAGUUGAACCUUGGGCCUGGCUGGCCGGUCCGCCUCACCGCGUGCACUGGUUCGGCCGGGCCUUUCCCUCUGGGGAACCCCAUGCCCUUCACUGGGUGUGGCGGGGAAACAGGACUUUUACUGUGAAAAAAUUAGAGUGCUCCAGGCAGGCCUAUGCUCGAAUACAUUAGCAUGGAAUAAUAGAAUAGGACGUGUGGUUCUAUUUUGUUGGUUUCUAGGACCGCCGUAAUGAUUAAUAGGGACAGUCGGGGGCAUCAGUAUUCAAUUGUCAGAGGUGAAAUUCUUGGAUUUAUUGAAGACUAACUACUGCGAAAGCAUUUGCCAAGGAUGUUUUCAUUAAUCAGGAACGAAAGUUAGGGGAUCGAAGACGAUCAGAUACCGUCGUAGUCUUAACCAUAAACUAUGCCGACUAGGGAUCGGACGAUGUUAUUUUUUGACUCGUUUGGCACCUUACGGGAAAC